rnacentral:rRNA from 1 species
AUGUACCUGAACUGCUGUGUUGGUGGUCCUGCGCGCAUGGUGUUUGAAGGAAUGACAGCGAGGAAUGUGGUCUGCGAUAGCCAGGUUGGAUUCUGGAAUCCCCUGAUACAGAGGCCUAUGUAUCGGUUUGUGUUGAGGGCCUUCUUGUUCUGCCCCAUUGGCGCGGUGAUAAAAAAUGCAACGCAAGUCUUCUCUGUGUGGUUGGCAUAUAUGGAGCCAUGGAAGGUUACACAAGAGGAGCUGGAUGAGUAUGAUGUGUCCCUGAUGCAGGGGACGGGCACACAGGGGACGCAGAAAGGGGAGCUGCUAUAUACUCCGUCGUGGAAGAAUUAUGUGCUGUCCAAUUACCUAUUCUAUAGCUCGAUGGUGGUGCAUUUCCUGGGUUUUGCACACAAGUUUAUCCAUUCUGAUGUCUCCUCAGUGCUCGUGAUGAUUUUAAAGGUAUUGGAAGUCUUGUCUUCCUCAACAGAACUGGUGGAUCUUCUAUAUAAAGUGGAUAUUGCCUAUCAUUCUAGACCGGUUACUUCACCGUCAACUUCUUCAGAAUCAGAUGAUGUAAUGAAGUAUGUUCCGUCAAUCCGUGAGCAGCUAAAGGAUUGGGAGGAUGGUCUGACAGAAACUGAUGCAGAUGGAUCUUUCUUGCAUGAGCAUUGGAACUCUGAUCUAAGACUUUUCAAUAGUGGUGAGGACGGGGCUUAUCAUCUGCUUCAGCUCCUUCUGAUCCGAGCAGAGCUGGAGAUACAACGCCUGCCAGGUGACACAGUACAAGCUCUCCAGUCGUUGGAUUUGAUAAAAUCCCGGAUGAAAAAGAUCUUCCAGGGCCGCAUUGAAGGCAUCCACCACCAGAAUACUUCAGCGCAGGAGUUGCAGGAUCAACAUCCAGGGCGCGGCGAGAUAUUUACACCUAAGCAUCCCCAUUCGGGGAGGAGCAAGUUUGGCGAAGUCAGAUACAGAGGCGACUGGAUGAAGAGGCCCAUCUCGGAGACUGAAGUGGCCUGGCUCGCGAGGAUCCUUAUCCACAUAUCUGACCGACUGAACGACGCCCUUCGACUUGGCUGUGACGGUGCUGCUGAUGAUAGCGUUGCUAACCCGACGUACAUUAAGUUUGACAGGAACGAUCUGACGACAAUAGGGGGACCGAAGGACGCCGCUAGGAUGGCUCUCGUGGCUAUCUGUUCGCUGCUGGCGGUUGUGGGACAGGCGGUGCUGAGGUUCAUGAGGGCGCACAGGGUAAAGAUCAAUCUUAGAGUUUUUGCUUCGAAGAAGCUGCUGACUGGCCUCGUGUUGCUGUACGCGAUGGUGGCGGGGACAAAGAGAGCUUUUUAUUGA